GAUGAACGCUGGCGGCGUGCUUAACACAUGCAAGUCGAACGGAAAGGCCCAAGCUUGCUUGGGUACUCGAGUGGCGAACGGGUGAGUAACACGUGGGUGAUCUGCCCUGCACUUCGGGAUAAGCCUGGGAUACUGGGUCUAAUACCGGAUAGGACGAUGGUUUGGAUGCCAUUGUGGAAAGUUUUUUCGGUGUGGGAUGAGCUCGCGGCCUAUCAGCUUGUUGGUGGGGUAAUGGCCUACCAAGGCGUCGACGGGUAGCCGGCCUGAGAGGGUGUACGGCCACAUUGGGACUGAGAUACGGCCCAGACUCCUACGGGAGGCAGCAGUGGGGAAUAUUGCACAAUGGGCGCAAGCCUGAUGCAGCGACGCCGCGUGGGGGAUGACGGCCUUCGGGUUGUAAACUCCUUUCGCUAGGGACGAAGCGUUUUUGUGACGGUACCUGGAGAAGAAGCACCGGCUAACUACGUG
rnacentral:rRNA from 1 species